rnacentral:rRNA from 1 species
GACGAACGCUGGCGGCGUGCUUAACACAUGCAAGUCGAACGAUGAAGCCGGAGCUUGCUCUGGUGAAUUAGUGGCGAACGGGUGAGUAACACGUGAGUAACCUGCCCUUGACUCUGGGAUAACUGCUAGAAAUGGUAGCUAAUACCGGAUACGACCCUCGGAGGCAUCUCCAGGGGGUGGAAAGAAUUUCGGCCAAGGAUGGACUCGGGGCCUAUCAGCUAGUUGGUGAGGUAACGGCUCACCAAGGCGACGACGGGUAGCCGGCCUGGGAGGGUGAUCGGCCACACUGGGACUGAGACACGGCCCAGACCCCUACGGGAGGCAGCAGUGGGGAAUAUUGCACAAGGGGCGCAAGCCUGAUGCAGCAACGCCGCGUGAGGGACGACGGCCUUCGGGUUGUAAACCUCUUUUAGUAGGGAAGAAGCGAAAGUGACGGUACCUGCAGAAAAAGCACCGGCUAACUACGUGCCAGCCGCCGCCGUAA